rnacentral:lncRNA from 1 species
AAAAAAAAAAAAAAAAAAGUCAAAAGCAUAUCUAUAAUUACAGUUUAUACGUCGUUGGUCGAAUUUUUUUCCUGAAAAAUAACUAAAAAAAUUGACCCUAGCAAGCAGCUACUACUCGGCGAUCGUGCUCAAGUUAGCCGUAAAUCGCCUCUUCCCUUUCCCGCAACCUCUUCCUCCACCACCGUUCGUCUUCACUCCGGCGAUGUUUCUCCUUUGGUAAGUUUUUUCCGAAACCGAUACAUCUCCGUCGCCGGAAACCCAACCGACUCCGCCGCUCUUGGUCAACGCGGAACUAGCUUUAACAGCCAAGGCCGCCAUUUCCUCCGCCCUUAACGGAUGGUUGAGCCACGUUAGAGGUAAAACGAAGUAAAGCUGUCCUGACCGGAGCUCCUCGUUGCCGGAGACAGCUGAGACGGCGUCGUCGAAAUCCAUUUCGUCGGAGUUACAGACGAAGCAGGUAGGAUUCUUCUGCAAAAUCUGCCAAACUUUGACCGGAGAUGAGAACUCUUGUAAAGUACCGUCGAGCAGUAUAAGCUUCGCUGAAUCGCUCCUCAAAGAUUCACGUGAAACGCACGCUCCCAUUUUUUUUAUCUCUUGGUUUGUUUUGACUUUAAAAACGUUUUUUAACUCGUGAGUUUAGCAAGAGAGAGAUGCUUCAGAUGCAGUUUGUGUUGUGUGUUUUGUGAGUUGUGAAUAUGAAAGAGACGACCUUGUGAGGAGUUUAUAUAUACCAAGGGAAGCAGUAGAAGAAGACAGCAUCGAGAAUCUAAGUCCACGUCGGAUGUGUCGUGUAGUGAUAACAACUAAACAUGACAGCUAUCUCGAUAUAUUUUUAAAAAUUAUUAUUGUCAAAAAAGAACCAUAACGUUGAGAACGGGAAAGAAGGAGAGGGAACGUGGCGGAGAAUGAGAGAGGAAGGAGCAUAGGUGGGUGAAGGAGGAAGGGACCACGUGGCAGACAGAGGCAGGACCGGCAAGCAGACAAGAUUGAGUUGGCCGGAGGUUUAGCGUCACCGGUGGGUUAGAUCUCACGUGAAGACAAUAGAGACUUCUCUGAGCCCUACCUCUGACGAUAUCAUGUGUGAUUAUAGAUUCUUUUUUUGGACGGACCCUUUUGGUAGAUACAAGAGUCACCUACCUUCAUUUUUUUAUUACUACUUUCUCUUACAAAGUUUUGAUUUUUGCAUGAAUGUGGCAUUUAUUAUGAAAAUCUCCAACAUUAUUGAGUCUCUCUAAUACUUGUAUAUUUCUAUGUUGAACUUGGACGGUAUGGAAAUAGCUGUAUAGAAUUCUAAAGGUUUGUAUUUUGUGUUUACGAGAUAUUAUAAGCUUACUUUAGUGAUCUCAUUCAGACUUAUUAGUUGAAGCGUAUCGUCUUUCUUUUUGAGCUAACUAAAAAUGUGGACUUAUCACACUUUAAAAUAAAUAUAACAUUUGCUCUAUUAUUAAAGCUUUAUAAAGUAUACUAUAUACGUAAAAUAUCUUCUUCUUUUGGUUUUGGUCGACAAGUUAAAUAUCUAAUUUCCCUACCACUUUAUAUACUUUCUGAUUAUAUUACAUCAUAUAAUAGAGUAGCUCAAAGUCUCCAACCAAUUAUUUUUACUCAAAAAGAAAUAUCUUUUCAUAAACUUUUUUUUGUUUGUUUGUUUGCUUCCUUAGGUUUUUAUGGGACUUGAAUGAGCCACGUCUCCGGACAUGUCUAAUUUAUGGAUGUCAUAUUUUGUUAACUAUUUAAACCUCUGUGCGAUGUUUAUAGCUUUUGCUUUUUCUUUGACAUCAAGUCUCAAACUCGUCCCAAGUUUCUAUAACCAUUAAUUAUAGUAUUUGGUAAUAUAAAAACUUUGUUCGUCAGGUCUGGUGGAUAUUAAUCUGCCACGGUAAUGACAAAACACAAAUAAGGCCAAACAAUAGUUAUUCCAUGAGGUGAAACUAGGCAAUAAUACAAUUUUGCUUACGACGAUUAGUUGAAUACCCAUUUAUUAUAUGUCACGAGGCAUAGUUUUGUUGCUAUUUGAAGUUAAUAUUCUUGUUUUGGUAAUUCAUUCGGAAUUCUUUGUCACUGUCUUAAUAUUCUUUUUUUUUAAUGAAACUGAUCGGACGUUAUCCGUUAAAAUCGAAUUUAAUUUGAUACAAAACAAUAGCGAUUUUGGAUUAUAAGAACGAAACAUGGUGAUUAGUUGGCACUAACAUGUACACGCUUAUAUAAUCUACUCUAAUGUUACAUGAUCUAUAAAAUUUUGGCCGAGUGAAUGUAAGAUUUGUACUCAAAAUACAUUGCGAUGAAUCCGAUCUCUCUAAUGUAUAAAUAAAAAAACAGAAUUAUAUAUGUCCCCAAGAAGAUAAAAAAUAACGUAAGCAAAUUAUACUAAUGUAGAUGACAGUGUGGUUUAAUCGUUUGUUACUUAAGAGAGAAUCUGUCUGCGAUCUGUAGUUGUUAUGUGCUGUGUCCCACGCCAACGUAAUUGUCUGUGUUCUUUCAUGUUUCGAGAUGCAAGACCAAACACAGACCAUUCUAUUUAAUUUUAUAACUAGUUUAAACACUGUUUUGUUUAUUAGUAUAUUCACACCCCAUGCACAUUAAUUACAGCUUAAUGAGCAACAUGAUUACACUAAAUUAUUCUCAUGAGAUAUUCAACAUUCUUAAUUCCAACUUGCUAUUCGCCCAUUAAAAUAGAUAUAUAUAUCUAUAAUAUAUCACACAGAAGUGCCAUACAAUCCAGGGAUUGUAUAAUAUUUGUUUAUCAUCAAAUUGAGUUUUAUCUAUCUACACAGAAGAUGAGCUUUAAUUGUAAAACUUCUAUAUUUUCAAACUGGAGUUCCAAAGAAAAAAAACACAUGAAUACAACUUUUCCAACCGACUGAAUUUUACGAUUUGACUAUCAAUAAGAAAGCCCAUCAUGUUUGGGACUGAUGCUAACAUGAUUUAAGGCCCAAACAUUGUAUAAUGUAGACUUUAUUAACGCCCCAUCGGAUAUAUAUCAUACUCAGCCUUGUUCUGCUAUAAAAAGCUCAUCAUCAAUUCAUCAUCACCUUCAAAAACAGACUCAUCUCAAACUGUUGCUUCACAACUUUCCUUUCCAAUAUACUCUUAAAACCAGACCCCUUUUUUUGUUUGCAACGAACAAUUUAUGCUUUUUUCGCAUCAUAGACCAUAAAGAUUAAAAUUGGUACUGACUUUAGGAUGAAGGACAUGGAUAUACAGAAAAUUCAAGAGGAUCUUUAGGCAUGUGCAUUUUUUUUUUUAUAAGAGAGAUAAACGAAGAAAGCAUCAAAAGAUGUUGUCGAUCAUUAUCAUCAAACACAAUCAACAGAUAUAUAAAAACAUGAUCACUCAAGUUGACCGUACCACACCCCUUGGAUCUUCACAUCCUUUGGUACCUUAGCACCCAAGUCAGUAUCUGACGGCUGAAGACUCUCGAACACUCCGAUCACCUCUCCUGUCUCCGGCUUGCUCUUCGUCACUUUCAGAGUGAUCUCUCCAACCGAAGCUGCUGUGUUCUUCACGUUCUCCUUUACUAGUUCCUCCUCGUCUCCCCUGCCUCCAGCUGGCAAUGCCACAGCGUUGUCAUAUCCUGUGGAUCCACCACGGCCCUUUGGGUCCAAGAAGGAAGAACCACGGUACGAUGGAACCAAGAAUUUCCCGGUGAAGCUGUCUGGUUUGCCUGAGGCGUCCAGCUGUUUGACUGUGAAGAGGAAUGGCACACGCUCGCCUCCUGGGAGCUGAACAGUAACUGCAGCGUAGUCGAUUCCAUCUUCUUCCUUGAAGUUGACGCUUCCGUCUGAAGCAACCUACUCGAAACAAAUAAAAGAGACGAUCAAUCACAAAUCGUAACCCUGAGCACACAGUUUCUUGCGGUAUAAACAAAGACGCAACAAAAAUGAAACCUCGAAGGGUCCUUCGAUCUCGUCAAGGGUGUAGGUGAGACGGGUCAUGAGCUUCGUGUUCUGGAACUCAGGAGGUGCGUUCUUGCUCACGCUCUCUGCCUUGACAGUGAAUGAAGUAGGCUCGAAGCAGAACUUCUUGCCAGCGUACUUUCCGGGCUUGAAUGAGAAUGUCUCAGAGCCACCGUCGAUAGUUGGGCACUGGUUAGCGGUUCCAGUUCCUUUCACUUCCAUGUAUGUCUUGCUCUGAAUCUCAUCGUAGGUCAGUCUCUUCGGAGCUCCCUCUGCACUUGCUCCCUGCAUUACAGGAGAAACAUACAGCUUUUAAGUCAAGUGAUCCAACAAGACUGAGUCGAAGAUUACAAGAACUGGAAUAGCGGUUUCUCGUUCUACUACGCUAAUCCGAAUCAGUUAUUGGUUUAGGUGUUCUGCUCCGUUUUCAGUUUAAUAUAAAUUAAUGUAUACAUAGUAAUGCAAAUCAGAGUUAUGCUAUAUGAAACACAAAAGAAAAUUCUUCCCAGUUACUCAAUUCCUCUCUGUUUCUUGAUUAGUCUAUAGUUCAUAAUGAUCUUUAUCGAAGAAUCUGUGAGAGAGGAGAGUAGGUGAUUCGAGAAAGUUACCGAGACAACGAGAGCAGAGGUGGCAAGAGCGAAUCCGGCAAUUUUUACAGCGUCGGAGCAUUUUCCGGCCAAGUCCUUGAAGUCAGACUGGAAGGAGCAAGUGAGGCGAGCAGAAGAAGUUUCUAGCCCGAAAGAUUUGCCGACGGUCUGAGUGGACCGGAGGUGAGCACUGCCGCGAGAAGGAGCGGUGGAGAUCUUCGCCGACUGGAGGAAUGUGGCGGCGGAUUGGAGAGAGGCUGCCAUGGCCACAAAGUGUCUCAGAUGGUUUUUGAGAUUUUGUUUUGUGAUCCAAAGCUGUGAGCAAAGUAAAGACUAAAGAGUAAUAAUCAGAAGGCUGAGAUAAGAUUGGGAUAAGGCGAGGAUUUUGAUUGGUUUGCUUCGUGGGAAUCGGAGUGUCUGGUUUUAUUUGUUGCCACGUGUCGGAAUAUGAAGUGGAGAUAUGGAUACUGUCUCAGUCAGGGAUGCUGACGUGGAAUAUAUAACAUGAUAUAAAAAAUGGUUGUGAAAAAAUAAAAGAUGGCCCAUGCAGGUUUCGAACCUGCGACCUUCGCGUUAUUAGCACGACGCUCUAACCAACUGAGCUAAUGGGCCGUUGAUGCACAUAUUAGUAGAGUAAGUAAGUUUUCUCAAAACAAGUUUUACUUUAGAAGGCUUCAAAAUAGAUACAAAUGGCUAAAGCCCACUAGUUAGUUCUUUCAUUCGUUUUGUCGUCCAUAGUCCAGAAUCCAGAUGAUCUUCAACUAAACGUAUACGUUUGGUCCACAUAUAUAGGCUAACAUCAAGGAUCCUUUAAUUUAAUUAGGGCCUGAAUCGAAUUGAAUAGAAUAUGAGAAUCACACUUCAUCUGUUCAUCAUCAUAUGUAAAGGUUGCAUCAUACGGUAGGUGUUGUAUCAGCAUUUGAGGUUGAAUGUAGAUUAUCAUACUCAUCCAAAGACACACAUGGGUCAUUGGUCACAGUUAGCUUUCAACAUUGGUUAUAUAUUUACUAUUAAGAACAAGUUCUGACACCGUAGAACCAGUCUUUAGGUAAAAUAUUUCUUUUGAGGUUCACAAGUUUAGUGUAUUUAGUGUAUUUCGUUGUGUCACACUUUUACAUUGUCAAAAUGGUUAAUCUGAGUUAUGAGCAAUACUAGUUAAGCUGAUUUGGUCCUGAUUGGUUGACAUAAGUAUACGUAGUCUUUCUUUUAGAGUCUUCGUAGUGGAAUAAUAUCUCCAGCUUAGACUCUCAUCAUAGAGAAUCAGAAUUUAGUCUCUUCGAAAAUUAGAUAGAUUGGUAAAAUGAGAAUUUCAGAAUACUAAUUAAAUCACUUGCUCUGCAAAUAUAAAUAAGGCAGAAGGCACUCAGAAUGAGUAGGAGGUAUAGAUUCAUCAAAAUGAAUCAGAUGACAAUAAACAAUCCUCAUUGUGCCUUUUUUACUUCUUCUUAAAUCAUUUUUUUUUAAAUGAAAACAAAGUAAGGAGUUGUAAAAAGGAUUUCUCUCAGACAAAUGCCUCGUUUUGUCCCCAUGAUUUUAUGAAUGGAUUUCAUCGGACUCGUCAUCUAUUUGUUCUUCAUCACAGAGAAAGCCUUUUUAUUUUCUAAAUCUAAAACAAAGAAAAAGAGAAAGAGCAAAUCCUAAUAAUACUAGCUAGAAAGAAAUAAAGCAAAACCCUCUCAGACAAAUGCCUCGUUUGUCCCCACGAUUUAAUGAAUGGAUUUCAUCGGACUCGUCAUCUAUUCUUCUUCAUCACUGAGGAUUUUAUUUUCUUCAAACGAUAAAAAAGUUUCUUAGCUCUAAGAACAAAAAUCGAAUAGCCAAUACCGAUUAAGACGAAACUAAACGAUAAACAAGUAAGAAGAAGGGACAAAGGACAAAUAACUAAAUCUACCAAAACCGAGGAAAUUUGCAGCAAGAGAGAGAGAGAGAUUAAGAUUUUCUUAAGGAACUCGAAUUGUACUCAAUGCUUUGGCUUUGGCGGAAGCCAAUCUAUUUUAUAGCCAAAAAAAAAAAAGAAGAAGAAGAGAAGUAGGGUUUUUAGAAAAGGAACUCUCCUUUAGUAAAACGACAUGAAGUCCUACUCUAAAUAAAUCUGAACAGCGAGUAGUCUCUAACUCUUUCCAUUUAAACGGGGGGAGCCUUAACUUUUGAAACAAUCUCUCCAGAGCAAUUUGUUAACCUCACCGACUGAAACCCAUACUUGCGGCCCAGUUUCAGAUAGUUGAUAAUUGGGCCUUGUGUACAUGUCAUCGUCACAGCCCAGUUCAUUUGUGCACGUGUAAUGGGUAAAUAUAUUAUGUGUGGGCUUUGGGCCUUGUCAAUUACUAUUUCGAGUUUAUUUCAGUCAUAAAAGCGAAACCCACAAGUCAAAAACGAUUGUGGAGAGAAAUCUCACGAAGGAUUUAAUAAAAUAAAAUAAAAAAACUAAACUCCAAGAAUCACAAUAAUAAUAUGCUUUCGUACUCAAUUUAAGAACGUCGUGAUCUAUGAUCAACCAUCGUGGCCUCGUGUGAAUCGCAGACCUGUGUCUUGAAUUUACAUCCCAGUUUUUUCGUUAUGGACCAACUUCUCGGCCGAUCAGUCCUCGUCGUCCCCGGUGAUGAUUCUUCUUUAUCAAUCUUCGCGAUCACUUUCUUCAUGUUCGAACACUCCCUCUCUAACCGGUGAACACGCGUCCUCAUCGUAUCCAUAUCCAAGCGAAGCACCUGAUUCUCUCUCACCGUCUUCUUCCAUUUCCCUGCGUCCACCACCUGUCCCUCUCCCCUCGUCUCCUCUUCCGUUAUCGCUAGAUUCCUUAUUGCUGUCGCUGACGCUCGCGGCUCCGUUGACUGUGACGGAGACGGCGAUUGUGCCGCUAGUAACGUCCCCGCGAUCGCGUGCCGGAGCUGUAACUGCUCGAAGAAGAGGACUUGUACGACGGCUCUUAGCGGAAGCCGCUCGUUUUGCGCGGCGUGUGUGCAUGCUUCCAGCGUCAGUUUUUGACAAUCCAUCACGCCGCAUAUCUUCUCCCUCUCUGUUUCCGAUACCCAUGGAUGCGCCUUUAUAUAUGCACCAAAAAAAAAAUUAUAUAUAUAUAUAUAUAUAUAUAGUUUUAACACAAAUUCAGAUCCAGUACUCAGAUCUCCGAGAUGAAUGUUAUGUAGAUCACCUUGAGAUAAACGUCGACGGCUCUGUAAAGUCCGUCAUCGUAGAGUCGAGCUUGAUCGGGGAGUGAGAUGGCUAGAUUGUAAAAUUUAUCCGAUUUGAGAUUAGCGUCGGAUGCGAUCUCCGCGAGAAAUCCAUCGAUUAGUUUCCCGACGAGCAUUAGCGACGGUGAUCGUCCAUCAGCUUCGACUAUGGCGGUGUGUGAUUGUUCCAAGGUGUCGAGAAAGUGACCUAAGAUUCUCUCUACCAAAUCGACAUCGUACAAUGUCUCAUUGAGGUAUGAGUAACUCGGGACAAGCAAAUCGUCGAGCGUGGCUCGCUCUAGCUGCGAUCCGAUCUUUCUCUCAAGCAGAUCACGGCAAGUCUCGGAGGCGUUGAGGAUGAUGGCGGUUCGUAAUAAGCCAAAGAGGAAUCUCGUGGUCGAAGAGAUGGAGCUUUUAUCUAAUGGAAGAUUAGAGGUUAUCAUCUCUAGGAGUUCUCUCUGUUGGUUCUCUGAAACUGCUGUUGAAGAUGACGAUGGCGGUUUCCGGUUAGAACGUAAAAUUCCGGGAAUGUGCUUCUUAGCGUAACAAAUCAAAGAGCUCUCUAUGAUAUCGGAGCUCAGAUCUCUUGAUCUCAUUGAUAGGAUCAAUGUUGUGAAGAUCGGAAGGCUCAGUUGCGAUAGAUCUUCAAACCACAGCUCCAUGCUCGAAUCUCCACCCGGUUUCUUUCGAGAUUUCGUGGCGCCGCCGGGGAUAAGCUGCAGAUCGGCGCCUUGGCCUCCGCCGCCGUCGUUUACAGGCCAUCCGAACAGUGAGGGAUCAGCUGAGGAAGCUCUGGAGAUGAUGGACUCAAUGCACUGUUCAGUAAUACCAAGUGAUUCGGAUAAAGCUGAGACUGACUCGCACGCUUUGAGAGCUUUAAUGGAUUCUCGUAAGCUCUUGUAGACGGAAUGAGAGAGAAACCUCUCGGUCUUGGAAAUUAAGUUGUCAGGAGAAUACUCUUCCGUCAUUUCCAGGUGUUGGGCGGCGCAACGAAGAGGAACAACAGUGGAAGCAGAGAGGUCCAUCUUGACGCCAUAGCAGAACUUGGCAACCAUUUCGAAGCUCUCUGAACUCCCGGGAAAGUCGUCGAGUUUGAUGUGAGGAUAGCCAGUUUCUUCCAUGUCUUGCUCUUCUUCUUUUUCUUCAUCGUCAUCCUCGAUUUCGUGGCCUUUACCUUUCUUGUCAGUAUCUUCUAGUAUGACUUUUGGGUCCGUUACAGUAAGAGCCAUGGAACAAGAUCUAGUCUCUUGCUCUGUGAUCAACCUGUGAAGUCUCCUGCUCUUGGACAUGAGAGGAAACUGGGAAAGCCACAAGCAACAACAAACAAAAUUAGAAAGAAAGUGAGCGGAGAAGAUGAAAGAAGAAGACAAAUCAAAGACGUUUAGUGACCUUAUGGAGAUGGAAUGUCAUGUCAUCAACUUCGAUUUCAAUGUCGCUAGGUAAGCCAGUCGUACAAAACCUGCAUCAAUACGAUAAUUUUUUUUAAAAAUUAAUUAAAAAAGAAAGAAGUUAAUUAGAGAGAAUAAAAAAAUAAGUGUUGGCUAUGUCUUCACCAUGCUUGACCCUUGGAGCUGGAUUUCUCUGACGCCAUUAAUGGAGACAACAACAAAGAAACUCUGAGUCUGAGAGGAAAAGAAAGCUCAGAAGAAACCAAAGAGCCAAUCUCUUUCUAAAGAAGGAAUAUGGAGAGAGAGAGAGAGAACAAGAGGAGAGGGUAAAGGGGGAAGGAAUUGGAAUCCUAAAUCAUGAGAAAGAGACACUUUUAAUAAAACAUUAUUAUUCGGAUUUCGAAAAAGGGGAUCUCGUUUUUUCUUCUCUUUAGUUUUUUUUUUUUAAUUUAGUCUUAUAUAGUUGGAGAACAGCAAGAAUCUCAACUACUGAUACUCUCAAGACGACACAUUUUCAAAUAGAUAAAUUACACUUUGGGAGAAGCAAAAUCCCACUCAUUUGUUAAUCAUUUACUAUAAAUUCAUAAUCUAGUUUUAUUAAAAAUUACACAGCCCCUCUUGUGUUUUGCUUCCUUCUACUAUUCCUGUGAAAUGCAUUAUUUGAACUGAUAUGGCACAAUCAUAUCCGUAUUUGAUUGGUUUUUAUGAUCUUUUAUAUAAAAAAAAAAAAGAGAUUGAUAAAAUCAUCAAAACUAAGCAAGGACGAACCUGCUUCUGUUUAAUUUAGAGAGAAAUUAAGUGGCAGACAUAUUAUGUAAAUUGUUAUUAUUAAUUCAUAUGUCUCACCUAAUCCUGAAAAUUUUUGGGAAAAUUUAACGUUUAGGGAGCCCACGUGGAUUGCAAGUGAGGACAUUAAAUGUUUUUCUUUUUCUUUCUUUCUUCUCCAUAUAUGAAAAAUUUAUUGCAAUAUUUUACAGAUGUAAAGUGAGAGAGAAGCGAGAGAAAAGAAAAAGGUAUUUGCAACUUUCAAUGCAUUGAUUUGUUCAUCCACAGUAUCUAAAACACCAUUCAAAAAUAAAAUCGAAUUUAUUAUAAAUAAAAAAAUUUGAAUGUGGAAGCAAACAAUACGGUGGCUCUGUGUUUAUUAUUUGUAGACCCCUCUCUUUUCUAAAAAAAUUGAUUGUUACAAACAUUUCCUUUCAUGUUUUUAAUGCCUAUACCUCCUGUAUAUAUACAGUAUAUACUGUAUUUGUUCAUGUAAUCAUCACUGUGUAAAUCUUUACUUGUAUGUUUACUUGUUUAGAGUCAAGAUGCAAGAUACAUACGUCUUCUACUAUUAUGUAACUUUUCAGUUGUAAUAUUUUCAAUGUUUUGCCCUUUUACAUACAUACUUGUGAAAGAAUAUCAAAAUCAAAGUAUAUACUGGACUUCUUUUCUUGUAACAUUCUUUUUUUGUAUUUAGUAUUCCUUUUUUUUUUCAGCCGAAAAACAUGUGGUGUAUUCUUGAUCUCUUUAAGCAUGGAUGCAAUAUCUUGGACUUCAUCUAUUAAUAGCUCUCACUAGACAACAACAAGAGAAAAACAAUCAAAGUAAAAAAAAAAAACAAAAAAAAAAAAAAAACAAUCAAAGUAAAGAGUAGACUUUGCCAAUAGAAACUUACAAAGUCAUUUCAUUUUAUUUUCUUUCUUCUCUUUUGCUUUAUCUUAUUCCUUACGUUCUCACGUGUUAUGUGAAAAAGAUCAUGUUGGCUUCUAAAGUUACGAAGACUUAAACAUUAGUGGUUUCAUUUCAUAUUCACCCACACAUCGUCUUGUCC